rnacentral:pre_miRNA from 1 species
ACCUCAUAACAUAGAUACAUUACGUGUGUGUGUGUUGUGUGCUAGAGGUCUAUCACACACACACACACACGUAAUGUAUCUAUGUUAUAUACAC